GCAAUAUAAAAAGGUGAGCCGGGGAGCGCGCCCAGCCGGCCGCGACCGCAGGAGAGGGUGGCCCCGCCGCCGGGGCACUGGAGCCCGAAGGCGCCGGGCAGCCUGAAAGGGAGAGACCAAGGGAGCUACCAACAUCAUCUGCCCUUGCCGGAUGGGCUUGACGUGCAUAUCCAAGGACUUGAUGUGUUCCCGCCGGUGCCAUAUGAUUUAGAGGAAGAUGCAGGCUGGUCACUGCUCCCUUGGGGCCGUAGGCCCUGGGUGGCACCAACUUGCUCCAAAUCCAGCUCCUGAGACAUUAAAGUCACUUCCUGUC
rnacentral:sRNA from 1 species